rnacentral:rRNA from 1 species
AUUGAACGCUGGCGGCAUGCCUUACACAUGCAAGUCGAACGGCAGCACGGGUUCUUGCACCUGGUGGCGAGUGGCGAACGGGUGAGUAAUACAUCGGAACAUGUCCUGUAGUGGGGGAUAGCCCGACGAAAGCCGGAUUACUACCGCAUACGAUCUACUGAUGAAAGCGUGGGACCUUCGGGCCUCGCGCUAUAGGGUUGGCCGAUGGCUGAUUAGCUAGUUGGUGGGGUCAAGGCCUACCAAGGCGACGAUCAGUAGCUGGUCUGAGAGGACGACCAGCCAGACUGGGACUGAGAAACGGCACAGACUCCUACGGGAGGAAGCAGUGGGGAAUUUUGGACAAUGGGCGAAAGCCUGAUACAGCAAUGUCGCGUGUGUGAAGAAGGACUUCGGGUUGUAAAGCAAUUUUGUCCGGAAAGAAAUCCUUGGCCCUAAUACGGUCGGGGGAUGACGGUACCGGAAGAAUAAGCACCGGCUAACUACGUG